GUAGGUGAACCUGCGGAAGGAUCAUUAUUGAAAAGGGAACCCUUCGGGGUUCAACCUUCAACCCCAUGUUUUAACUACCUGUUUCUUUGGCGGGUUCGCCCGUCAGAAGUUCUCUCAAACCCUUAAAUGUGUCAUCUGAAUCCCAUAAUAAAUAAAUUAAAACUUUCAACAACGGAUCUCUUGGUUCUG
rnacentral:misc_RNA from 1 species